GUAAAAGUAGUAAUAAAAUGAGUAGUAAUACCUCAUUGGACAAUGCAUCGGAUCAGGAUUAUAGUGAAUUUUAAAUGAAUAUCUACUGCAUACACAUUCACCUCACAACGAGCCGGAAAUACAAUAUGAAGAGGGUGAAUUGGAAGCUGAAUGGUUAAUUGCUGCCGGUUUUCCACAAUUAACAAAACCAUUUGAGCAGGGCUUGGAAUUGCGAACUUCUGAAUUGGAACCGAUUUUGGCCUCGUUGUCUAAGCCUCAUGCUGAUGCCAUUAAACAGAGAGUGCGUACUUUGAA